rnacentral:rRNA from 1 species
GACGAACGCUGGCGGCGUGCCUAAUACAUGCAAGUAGAACGCUGAAGGAGGAGCUUGCUUCUCUGGAUGAGUUGCGAACGGGUGAGUAACGCGUAGGUAACCUGCCUGGUAGCGGGGGAUAACUAUUGGAAACGAUAGCUAAUACCGCAUAGGAGUAGAUGUUGCAUGACAUUUGCUUAAAAGGUGCAAUUGCAUCACUACCAGAUGGACCUGCGUUGUAUUAGCUAGUUGGUGGGGUAACGGCUCACCAAGGCGACGAUACAUAGCCGACCUGAGAGGGUGAUCGGCCACACUGGGACUGAGACACGGCCCAGACUCCUACGGGAGGCAGCAGUAGGGAAUCUUCGGCAAUGGACGGAAGUCUGACCGAGCAACGCCGCGUGAGUGAAGAAGGUUUUCGGAUCGUAAAGCUCUGUUGUAAGAGAAGAACGAGUGUGAGAGUGGAAAGUUCACACUGUGACGGUAUCUUACCAGAAAGGGACGGCUAACUACGUG